ACUCCUACGGGAGGCAGCAGUGGGGAAUUUUGGACAAUGGGGGCAACCCUGAUCCAGCAAUGCCGCGUGAGUGAAGAAGGCCUUCGGGUUGUAAAGCACUUUUGUCCGGGAAGAAAUCCGUAGUGGCUAAUAUACUACGGGUAAUGACGUACUGAAGAAUAG
rnacentral:rRNA from 1 species